rnacentral:rRNA from 1 species
UACGUAGGGUGCGAGCGUUGUCCGGAAUUAUUGGGCGUAAAGGGCUCGUAGGCGGUCUGUCACGUCGGGAGUGAAAACUCAGGGCUUAACCCUGAGCCUGCUUCCGAUACGGGCAGACUAGAGGUAUGCAGGGGAGAACGGAAUUCCUGGUGUAGCGGUGAAAUGCGCAGAUAUCAGGAAGAACACCCGUGGCUAAGGCGGCUCUCUAGUACGGUACUGACGCUGAGACGCGAAAGCGUGGGGAGCGAACAGG